rnacentral:rRNA from 1 species
GACGUAGGGCGCGAGCGUUGUCCGGAUUUAUUGGGCGUAAAGAGCUCGUAGGCGGCCAAGUCAGUCGAAUGUGAAAGCCCCCGGCUUAACUGGGGAGGGUCAUUCGAUACUGCUCGGCUCGAAGACAGGAGAGGGAAGCGGAAUUCCCGGUGUAGUGGUGAAAUGCGUAGAUAUCGGGAGGAACACCAGUGGCGAAGGCGGCUUUCUGGCCUGUUCUUGACGCUGAGGCGCGAAAGCUAGGGGAGCAAACGGG